rnacentral:rRNA from 1 species
GAUGAACGCUGGCGGCGUGCUUAACACAUGCAAGUCGAACGGAAAGGCCCAAGCUUGCUUGGGUACUCGAGUGGCGAACGGGUGAGUAACACGUGGGUGAUCUGCCCUGCACUUCGGGAUAAGCCUGGGAAACUGGGUCUAAUACCGGAUAGGACCACUUCUUGGAUGUUGUGGUGGAAAGUUUUUUCGGUGUGGGAUGAGCUCGCGGCCUAUCAGCUUGUUGGUGGGGUAAUGGCCUACCAAGGCGUCGACGGGUAGCCGGCCUGAGAGGGUGUACGGCCACAUUGGGACUGAGAUACGGCCCAGACUCCUACGGGAGGCAGCAGUGGGGAAUAUUGCACAAGGGGCGCAAGCCUGAUGCAGCGACACCGCGUGGGGGAUGACGGCCUUCGGGUUGUAAACUCCUUUCGCUAGGGACGAAGCGUUAUGUGACGGUACCUGGAGAAGAAGCACCGGCUAACUACGUG